AGCUGUACAAUACAGAAGAAAUUGAACAUAAUGUGUGAAUAUUCUCUCUCCCCCCCGCUCCUUACUGUACUGCAGGGACCCUGGAGAAGGAUAAAUUAUAUACAUAGAAUCCUGAUUGUAAACCGGUAUAUGUACAGUGUAUACUGUACAACAAUAAAACUGAUUCAAAUACUUCAGUUUGCACUAAACCUGCGCUGCAACUCUUACAUCAGAAUUAAUAUUCAGAAUCGCUGGUAGAGGUAGAGUGGGCGUUCCUCUCUCCCCCUCCUCCCCCCUUCAUACUUCGUCUCUCUGCGUCCUGAGAGCUCGGAGUAUAGAAGCAUUAGAGAUGUCAACCUGCACAACCUCCUUGGAAAGGUCGUUAUCAUUUAUUUCUGUCUUCUUAUCUUGAAAUAAAUGAUUUGUAUAACUUUA
rnacentral:lncRNA from 1 species